AGCUGCUUCGACCCAGAAUGCUGCUCCAGACAGGCAGCAAGCACGCCCAGCCCCCGGCCCCUGCCAGGCCGGGCAUCAGAUCUUUGAGGCUCCAGCUCCAGUCCAGGCCCGGGGCAGGCUCAGGCAGGACAGUUCACCUGUGCCUAUCAUGCCGAGGGCCCCGGGUGGCUCCUUGGUCCUGCAAUAAUAAGAUUGUCACCCACACCUCACCACUGUCCCAGAAGUCACCUCGCACCGAUGGAACACCGGCCGCAUGAACACCAGGCUCCAAGCAAGGCGCAUGGCAUCAUGCAAAUCAAUAAAAAGAAACCUCGUUGAGGGGA